UUAACGCAACAACAAUUCCCCCGGCCACAACAAUCCCCUGAACAACAACAAUUCCCCCAACAACAAUUCUCCCAGCAACCACCACAAAAAUUCCCCCAACAACAAUUUCCAAUACCAUACCCACCCCAGCAAUCACAAGAACCUUCCCCAUACCAACAAUAUCCACAACAACAACCAUCUGGGAGCGACGUUAUAAGUAUCAGUGGCCUAUGA
rnacentral:rRNA from 1 species